CUCCACCACAGGUAUCUCUGACUGCCAGCCAUGUACCUACACCUGCUGUUUGUUUGUCUUGCAUCAGUCUGUUGGAUGUCUGCUGAUGUAGAAUCAUGCAAUACUACAGAAUAUCAGGCAGCUUAUGAAGAACUUCACGAAGAGCUUGGCUUGUUGGAUAAUAGCAAUGCAACUAACCAAGUCCGGGCUCUGAGUUAUCAUCAAUUUACUUGGGCUUGGUUGCAUUUGUAUCUGAGCUCAAUCACAGAUGUGGAUGAGAAUGCCCAGACCAUGUCAACACAAGUAACACUUAAAACUGGUUGGAUCAACAGUAAAGUCAAUUGGAAGCCUGG